GCGCGAAUUCGUCUGUGAACAUUGCGGCGCGAGCUUCCACUCGCGAGCGGGGCUCGUGCAGCAUCUGCCGAUACAUUUGCCGGAGAGCAACUAUGAGUGCAACAUCUGCCAAAAACGCGAGAAAUCCAAACGGCUGCUUCAACACCACUACCAUAAGGUGCACAAAGAAAAACGCCUCCGCUACCUCUGUCCAGUAUGCGAGGAUGUUUUCAAAAGCAGCAGCGCGACACGACAGCACCUGACAAAAAGCCACGGCGUGGCGAGACACGACCAGCCUGCUAUACAGCGGUUUGAGGUAAGAUUUAUCAAU